CGUAGGCGGAUAAUCAAAAAUGUAGUAAAAGACUGAGGAUAAACCUCUUCAAACUAUAUUCACUAAUUAUUUGAGUUUUAAGGGCGAGCAAAUGAAUCCUUUAAGUAAGGGUUAAAUUGUUAAUAUUAGGAGACGUUCGAAAGCGAAAGCAAUGAUCGACUUAAAUCUGACGUUAGGUACUAAAGCAUGGGUAUGAAAAGGAUUAGAGACCUUGUAGUCCAUGCCGUAAACCAUGAGUGUUCAGCAUCUUUUUGUGGUAAUAUUAUUUCAUUAUAAUAAAAAGACACAAUCGGGGGUUUGAAGCUAACGCGUAAAACACCGCCUGGGGAAUGUGGCCGCAAGGUUAAACUCAAAGGAAUUGACGGAGACUUAUACAAGG
rnacentral:rRNA from 1 species